AACGGCCGUACCAUGCUGAAUAUACCGGUUCCGAAGUCAAGCAUCAUUGGGCGCGGUCAGUACUUGGGUGGGUGACCACCUGGGAACACCGCGUGCCGUU